rnacentral:rRNA from 1 species
AUUGAACGCUGGCGGCAGGCCUAACACAUGCAAGUCGAGCGGAGCGGCGGUCGCGUGAGUAAUGCUUAGGCAUCUGCCUGGUAGCGGGGGAUAAAGUCCGGAAACGGGCGCUAAUACCGCAUACUCUCAGAUGAGCCUAGGCCGGAUUAGCUAGUUGGUGGGGUAAAGGCCUACAAAGGCGAAGAUCCGUAACUGGUCUGAGAGGAUGAUCAGUCACACUGGAACUGAGACACGGUCCAGACUCCUACGGGAGGCAGCAGUGGGGAAUAUUGCACAAUGGGCGCAAGCCUGAUGCAGCCAUGCCGCGUGUAUGAAGAAGGCCUUCGGGUUGUAAAGUACUUUCAGCGGGGAGGCGUUACCCGCAGAAGAAGCACCGGCUAACUCCGUGCCAGCAGCCGCGGUAAUAC